AAUUGACCUCAGUUCAGGCAAGGCUACCCGCCGAAUUUAAGCAUAUUACUAAGCGGAG
rnacentral:rRNA from 2 species